rfam:Schistosoma mansoni strain Puerto Rico chromosome 2, complete genome
AUCCAGCGGACGAUUCUCAAAUAAGAAGAGACGCGCGUCGUGGAU